GACGAACGCUGGCGGCGUGCUUAACACAUGCAAGUCGAACGAUGAAGCCUAGCUUGCUAGGUGGAUUAGUGGCGAACGGGUGAGUAAUACGUGAGUAACCUACCUUUAACUCUGGGAUAAGCCCGGGAAACUGGGUCUAAUACCGGAUACGACCAAUCUCCGCAUGGGGUGUUGGUGGAAAGCGUUAUGUAGUGGUUAUAGAUGGGCUCACGGCCUAUCAGCUUGUUGGUGAGGUAACGGCUCACCAGGGCGACGACGGGUAGCCGGCCUGAGAGGGUGACCGGCCACACUGGGACUGAGACACGGCCCAGACUCCUACGGGAGGCAGCAGUGGGGAAUAUUGCACAAUGGGCGCAAGCCUGAUGCAGCGACGCCGCGUGAGGGAUGACGGCCUUCGGGUUGUAAACCUCUGUUAGCAGGGAAGAAGAGAGAUUGACGGUACCUGCAGAGAAAGCGCCGGCUAACUACGUG
rnacentral:rRNA from 1 species